AUGGACGAAAGUCUGACGGAGCAACGCCGCGUGAGUGAUGACGGCCUUCGGGUGGUAAAGCUCUGUUAAUCGGGACGAAAGGCCUUCUUGCGAAUAGUGAGAAGGAUUGACGGUACCGGAAUAGAAAGCCACGGCUAACUACGUGCCAGCAGCCGCGGUAAUACGUAGGUGGCAAGCGUUGUCCGGAAUUAUUGGGCGUAAAGCGCGCGCAGGCGGAUAGGUCAGUCUGUCUUAAAAGUUCAGGGCUUAACCCCGUGAUGGGAUGGAAACUGCCAAUCUAGAGUAUCGGAGAGGAAAGUGGAAUUCCUAGUGUAGCGGUGAAAUGCGUAGAUAUUAGGAAGAACACCAGUGGCGAAGGCGACUUUCUGGACGAAAACUGACGCUGAGGCGCGAAAGCCAGGGGAGCGAACGGGAUUAGAUACCCCGGUAGUCCUGGCCGUAAACGAUGGGUACUAGGUGUAGGAGGUAUCGACCCCUUCUGUGCCGGAGUUAACGCAAUAAGUACCCCGCCUGGGGAGUACGACCGCAAGGUUGAAACUCAAAGGAAUUGACGGGGGCCCGCACAAGCGGUGGAGUAUGUGGUUUAAUUCGACGCAACGCGAAGAACCUUACCAGGUCUUGACAUUGAUGGACAGAACCAGAGAUGGUUCCUCUUCUUCGGAAGC
rnacentral:rRNA from 1 species